rnacentral:rRNA from 1 species
CGGCGGACGGGUGAGUAACACGUGGAUAACCUACCUAUAAGACUGGGAUAACUUCGGGAAACCGGAGCUAAUACCGGAUAAUAUAUUGAACCGCAUGGUUCAAUAGUGAAAGACGGUUUUGCUGUCACUUAUAGAUGGAUCCGCGCCGCAUUAGCUAAUUGGUAAGGUAACGGCUUACCAAGGCAACGAUGCGUAGCCGACCUGAGAGGGUGAUCGGCCACACUGGAACUGAGACACGGUCCAGACUCCUACGGGAGGCAGCAGGC